rnacentral:rRNA from 1 species
CAGUCGCCGCGGUAAUACGUAGGUGGCAAGCGUUGUCCGGAAUUAUUGGGCGUAAAGGGCUCGCAGGCGGUUUCUUAAGUCUGAUGUGAAAGCCCCCGGCUCAACCGGGGAGGGUCAUCGGAAACUGGGAAACUUGAGUGCAGAAGAGGAGAGUGGAAUUCCACGUGUAGCGGUGAAAUGCGUAGAGAUGUGGAGGAACACCAGUGGCGAAGGCGACCCUCUGGUCUGUAACUGACGCUGAGGAGCGAAAGCGUGGGGAGCGAACAGGAUUAGAUACCCGCGUAGUCCCUGUCUCUUAUAC